rnacentral:rRNA from 1 species
UUGAACGCUGGCGGCCGGCCUAACCCAUGCCAGUCGAACGGUAACAGGAAGAAGCUUGCUUCUUUGCUGACGAGUGGCGGACGGGUGAGUAAUGUCUGGGAAACUGCCUGAUGGAGGGGGAUAACUACUGGAAACGGUAGCUAAUACCGCAUAACGUCGCAAGACCAAAGAGGGGGACCUUCGGGCCUCUUGCCAUCGGAUGUGCCCAGAUGGGAUUAGCUAGUAGGUGGGGUAACGGCUCACCUAGGCGACGAUCCCUAGCUGGUCUGAGAGGAUGACCAGCCACACUGGAACUGAGACACGGUCCAGACUCCUACGGGAGGCAGCAGUGGGGAAUAUUGCACAAUGGGCGCAAGCCUGAUGCAGCCAUGCCGCGUGUAUGAAGAAGGCCUUCGGGUUGUAAAGUACUUUCAGCGGGGAGGAAGGGAGUAAAGUUAAUACCUUUGCUCAUUGACGUUACCCGCAGAAGAAGCACCGGCUAACUCCGUG